GGCUGCCGGCAGCGUGGGACUGCGAGUUCAAAUCCCACCCUGACCUCUAGGGUCCCUGGCCCUGGGCUGCACCUGCGCAAGGCCAGCGGGGGACACAGUGGGUCUGGGCCCCGGCUGCCCCUCGGGGACAGGGGUCCUCCUCCUCCCCCGCGGGGACACGGUGUCCACAGCACCCGGCCCGACCUGGCGGAGGACGCAGGGGAGCCCAGCUGUCCCGGCCGUGUCUCCGUGGCACUUGCGUCAGCAGCUCUGCCCUUUGACUCCUGCUCUCCCGGGAGGCGCGAGCCGCGCGUUAUUGGGGUUCGGCCUGGCUUCUGCCUCCCACAGCCCGGCUUUAAGACCAGAGCCGGGAGGGGAGCGGCCCUGCGGCCGUGGGAAGGAGUCGCGCUCGUGAAAGCUCCUGGCUGCCCCGGCUUGUCGGGACAUGUCCCCAGGCUGGGCGGGGACGCUGGGCGGCGCCGGAGGGGACGUUUCCUCCUGGCUGGGUCCCCGGAGCCGGGCGCACCGUGCGAAUCACCGGCACAGCGGCCCGGUGUUCCUAUCCCGGGUCCCCUGGGGCCAAAGCCUGAGCUUGAACCCGGACCCCAGCCCCGCAGUAGUUGGAGGUGUCGCCCAUCUCUUUCCCCUGUCCAUCUAAGGAAGAACCACUACCCGACCUUCCCCACCUCUCUGCUGAUCAGCCGGCUCCUCCUUCCUCGGCUCCUGCCUCAGGACCUUUGCACCACUCUUCGGGCUUCCUGGAAUCCCCUCCCCCAACAUCGUGGUAGGCUCCUCCUCUUCCUCUGGCACAUUUCAUCAACCACAGGAGAAGCAGCACUCCUUCAGCACCGCAUGGAAGAUGGACGGUCACGCCUGGUACCCAGCUAGCGGCUUUUAAUCCACUCUCUAAUAAAAGGACACAGCGAGGGGGGCUGGUUCUAGGACGGGCAGGAAGUGCAGAGAAAAGCCCUGAGAGAGCCGCUCUGACGGGAACAGGUCAGGGGGACGCAGGAGCCAAGAGGAAGAGCUGCCAGGGGCCGGGAGCCGGGACUGUUGAGCAAUAGAAUAAAUAUUGCCGGAUAAUAACUCAGAUGCAAAACAAAUACGCAGGAGACCAUUGUAAAUACGGGGGCAAAUAAACCGGGCUGCAUGCAGAAGAGGCCCAUACUUCUUUGCUGUUGUUACUGCUUUGCUUGUUUCAGACCAGGUCUCCCUAGGUAGCCCGGGCUGGCCUAGAACUCCACACCGAUCCUCCCGCUUCAGCCUCCCAAGUGCGGGGAUCACAGCUGUGCAGAUUUUGACCUUAGAGAGGGGCAGCACAGCAACCUCCCUCCGAAGCCUGCAGUUGGGGAAGCUCAGCGCUGGUCAUGUUGCUGGUGUGGACCCUGAGCGUGCUCAAAAUGCCAUUUCAGCCGGGUGUGUGGCCCACGCCUGCCAUCCUAGCACUCGGGAGGCUGAGGCAGGAGGAUCGCUGUGAGUUCAAGGCCAAACUGGGCGAUAUAGUGAGCCCCCAUCUUCACAACGAAAAUGCGGCAUUUUACCUGUGUGAUCGCUCCCCACACCCACACCCCCAGUCUCGCCACGAAAAGCAGGAGACAGGUUCCAGUAUGGCGGCAUCUCGUGAUACAGCCGACCCGCAUCCUACAGCCGUCAGGGUCACCAAAAACAAGGGAAGCUGGGUGCAGUGGCAC
ensembl:lincRNA